UNUGACUUGAGUGCAGAAGGGGAGAGUGGAAUUCCAUGUGUAGCGGUGAAAUGCGUAGAUAUAUGGAGGANCACCAGUGGCGAAAGCGGCUCUCUGGUCUGUCACUGACGCUGAGGCUCGAAAGCGUGGGUAGCGAACAGGAUUAGAUACCCUGGUAGUCCACGCCGUAAACGAUGAGUGCUAGGUGUUAGGCCCUUUCCGGGGCUUAGUGCCGGAGCUAACGCAAUAAGCACUCCGCCUAGGGAGUACGACCGCAAGGUUGAGACUCAAAGGAAUUGACGGGGGCCCGCACAAGCGGUGGAGCAUGUGGUUUAAUUCGAAGCAACGCGAAGAACCUUACCAGGUCUUGACAUCCCGAUGCUAUUCUUAGAGAUAGGAAGUUACUUCGGUACAUCGGAGACAGGUGGUGCAUGGUUGUCGUCAGCUCGUGUCGUGAGAUGUUGGGUUAAGUCCCGCAACGAGCGCAACCCUUAUUGUUAGUUGCCAUCAUUAAGUUGGGCACUCUAGCGAGACUGCCGGUAAUAAACCGGAGGAAGGUGGGGAUGACGUCAAAUCAUCAUGCCCCUUAUGACCUGGGCUACACACGUGCUACAAUGGUCGGUACAACGAGUUGCGAGCCGGUGACGGCAAGCUAAUCUCUGAAAGCCGAUCUCAGUUCGGAUUGGAGGCUGCAACUCGCCUCCAUGAAGUCGGAAUCGCUAGUAAUCGCGGAUCAGCACGCCGCGGUGAAUACGUUCCCGGGCCUUGUACACACCGCCC
rnacentral:rRNA from 1 species